rnacentral:rRNA from 1 species
GCCCGUUGAUCCUGCGGGAGGUCGCUGCUAUCGGGAUUCGACUAAGCCAUGCAAGUCCAGGGGGUCUUCGGACCACCGGCAUAUCGCUCAGUAACACGUCGGUAACAUACCCUAGGAUUCAGAAUAAGCUUGGGAAACUGAGUCUAACACUGAAUAAGGUACAGGUACUGGAAUGUCCUGUUCCUGAAACAUUACGGUCCUAGGAUUGGCUGGCGGUGGAUUAGGUUGUUGGCGGGGUAAUGGCCCACCAAGCCGAUGAUCCAUAGGGGCCUCGGAAGAGGUAGCCCCGAGAAGGGCACUGAGACACUGGCCCUAGCCCUACGGGGUGCAGCAGGCGCGAAACCUUUACAAUGCACGAAAGUGUGAUAAGGGAAUCCCGAGUGCUCAUGUUACGCAUGGGCUUUUGCCAGGUGUAAAUAGCCUGGCGAAUAAGUGGUGGGCAAGACCGGUGCCAGCAGCCGCGGUAACACCGGCGCCACAAGUGGGGACUGUGAUUAUUGGGCCUAAAGCGUUCGUAGCAGGUUAUGUAAAUGCAUUGUGAAAUUGUCCAGCUAAACUGAACAACGUGCAGUGUAGACUGCAAAACUAGGGACCGGGAGGAGCCAGAGGAAUGGGUUGGGAAGCGGUAAAAUGCAUUAAUCCAACCUAGACCAUCUGUGGCGAAGGCGUCUGGCCAGAACGGAUCCGACUGUGAGGAACGAAAGCUAGGGGAGCGAUCCGGAUUAGAUACCCGAGUAGUCCUAGCCGUAAACGCUGUGUGUUAGGUGUUGUACCAUCUCUAAGAUUGUGCAGUAUCGUAGCGAAGGCGUUAAACACACCGCCUGGGUAGUACGGUCGCAAGGCUGAAACUUAAAGGAAUUGGCGGGGGAGCACUACAAGGGGUGCGGCGUGCGGUUUAAUCUAACUCAACGCAGAGAAUCUCACCAGAGACGACGGCAGGAUGAAGGUCAACCUGAAGGGUUUACUUGACAAGCCGAGAGGUGGUGCAUGGCCGCCGUCAGCUCGUGCCGUAAGGUGUCCUGCUAAGUCAGGCAACGAGCGAGACCUGUAUCUACAAUUGCCAGCGAUGUCCACGGACAGAUCGGGCACAAUGUAGAGACUGCUGUGGAAACGCAGAGGAAGGUGCAGGCUACGGUAGGUCUGUAUGCCCCGAAUUCUCUGGGCAACACGCGCGCAACAAUGGUAGUGACAAUGGGCUGCGACACCGAAAGGUGAAGCUAAUCCUCCAAACGCUAUCUCAGUCUAGAUUGAGGGCUGUAACUCGCCCUCAUGACACCGGAAUCCCUAGUAAUCGGACGUCAACAUCGUCCGGUGAACCUGUCCCUGCUCCUUGCACACACCGCCCGUCAAACCACCCGAGCAGGGUCUAAGUGAGGUUUAGAUUCAUGUCUGAUUCGAACUUAGGCUCAGUGAGGAGGGUUAAGUCGUCACAAGGUA